CCUACGGGUGGCAGCAGUGGGGAAUAUUGCACAAUGGGGGAAACCCUGAUGCAGCGACGCCGCGUGUGUGAAGCAGUACUUCGUUAUGUAACGCUCUUUCAGCAGGGAAGAAAGUGACGGUGUUUAUGUCCGCAGCCCCUGCUAACUCCGUGCCAGCAGCCGCGGUCAUACGUCGGGGGCAAGCGUUCUCCGGAUUUACUGGUUGUAGAGGUAGCGUAGACGGCUGUGCAAGUCUGGAGUGAAAGGCGGGGGCUCAACCCCCGGACUGCUCUGGAAACUGGACGGCUGGAGUGCAGGAGAGGGGAGUAGAAUUCCAAGUGUAGCGGUGAAAUGCGUAGAGAUGAGGAGGAACACCAGUGGCGAAGGCGGCCCACUGGAC
rnacentral:rRNA from 1 species